CACAGGUGGUCAGGUAGAGAAUACCAAGGCGCUUGAGAGAACUCGGGUGAAGGAACUAGGCAAAAUGGUGCCGUAACUUCGGGAGAAGGCACGCUGAUAGGUAGGUGAAGCCCCUGCGGGCGGAGCUGAAAUCAGUCGAAGAUACCAGCUGGCUGCAACUGUUUAUUAAAAACACAGCACUGUGCAAACACGAAAGUGGACGUAUACGGUGUGACGCCU
rnacentral:rRNA from 1 species